CCUACGGGAGGCAGCAGUGAGGAAUAUUGGUCAAUGGACGGAAGGCUGAACCAGCCAAGUAGCGUGAGGGAUGACUGCCCUAUGGGUUGUAAACCUCUUUUAUAAGGGAAGAAAAAGUGCCACGUGUAGCAUGAUGCAUGUACCUUAUGAAUAAGCAUCGGCUAACUCCGUGCCAGCAGCCGCGGUAAUACGGAGGAUUCGAGCGUUAUCCGGAUUUAUUGGGUUGAAAGGGGGCGUAGGCGGGUUGUUAAGUUAGUUGGUAAAGUUUGGGGCUGCACCGUGAAAUUGCAGUUGAUACUGGCAGUCUUGAGUUCAGUAGAGGUAGGCGGAAUGAGUUGUGUAGCGGUGAAAUGCUUAGAUAUCACGAAGAACUCCGAUUGCGAAGGCAGCUCACCAGACUGCGACUGACGCUGAGGCUCGAAAGCGUGGGUAGCAAACAGGAUUAGAUACCCCUGUAGUC
rnacentral:rRNA from 1 species